rnacentral:tRNA from 1 species
GCCCAGGUGGCUCAGUCAGUGAAGCGUCUGACUUCGGCUCAGGUCAUGAUCUCACCAUUUGUGGGUUCGAGCCCCGUGUUGGGCU